rnacentral:rRNA from 1 species
CCUACGGAGGCAGCAGUGGGGAAUAUUGCACAAUGGGCGCAAGCCUGAUGCAGCGACGCCGCGUGAGGGAUGACGGCCUUCGGGUUGUAAACCUCUUUCAGUAGGGAAGAAGCGAAAGUGACGGUACCUGCAGAAGAAGCGCCGGCUAACUACGUGCCAGCAGCCGCGGUAAUACGUAGGGCGCAAGCGUUAUCCGGAAUUAUUGGGCGUAAAGAGCUCGUAGGCGGUUUGUCGCGUCUGCCGUGAAAGUCCGGGGCUCAACUCCGGAUCUGCGGUGGGUACGGGCAGACUAGAGUGAUGUAGGGGAGACUGGAAUUCCUGGUGUAGCGGUGAAAUGCGCAGAUAUCAGGAGGAACACCGAUGGCGAAGGCAGGUCUCUGGGCAUUAACUGACGCUGAGGAGCGAAAGCAUGGGGAGCGAACAGGAUUAGAUACCCUGGUAGUCCAUGCCGUAAACGUUGGGCACUAGGUGUGGGGGACAUUCCACGUUUUCCGCGCCGUAGCUAACGCAUUAAGUGCCCGCCUGGGGAGGUACGGCCGCGAGACGUAAACGUACGAAGAAGUUAGUAGCGUUGAGACGNGCGAGGCGACGACGAGGGAGGAGG